rnacentral:lncRNA from 1 species
AGCAGAUGCCUCUGUUUCUUGAGCUGACUUCCAGAUUCUGAGAAAUAAAUGAAGAGUGGAGGCUUGUUUUGGUAGAGGCUGAGAAAAGGAGUUGGCCAUAUUUGCCCUUCAGAACUUCGUGUCAUCCCCCAGCUCCCCAACGGCAGGGCCACAUUCUUUCACAGGACGGAGUUGGGGCAGAUUAUGGCUUCCUCUGGAUUGGAUUUCCCUUGGCUUCCCUGAGGGCAAUCCCCCGAGGAAGCACAUCCUGGAGCCAAACUCACCCAAUGAACCACAGCAACAGCUCCUAGGAGAAUGAAGAGUGUGAAUGGAUGGCCUUUUCAAAAUGAUGAGCCUGGAAGAGUUACAGACUCUGGCCCGAAAGAACCAAAGUUGAAGGUAGAGAUGUUUUAAGGAUGAGCAGAGCAGAACAACUUAGCAGUGGGAUGUUAAAGGCAACAUGAAUCAAACAUGGUAAUUAGAAACCAGGAAGACUGAGAAGGAAUCAAAUUUGCAGCAGCUCAGUAAGUGGUAGACUGG